GCCUACGGGAGGCUGCAGUGGGGAAUAUUGCACAAUGGGCGCAAGCCUGAUGCAGCGACGCCGCGUGAGGGAUGACGGCCUUCGGGUUGUAAACCUCUUUCAGCAGGGAAGAAGCGCAAGUGACGGUACCUGCAGAAGAAGCGCCGGCUAACUACGUGCCAGCAGACGCGGUAAUACGUAGGGCGCAAGCGUUGUCCGGAAUUAUUGGGCGUAAAGAGCUCGUAGGCGGCUUGUCGCGUCGGUUGUGAAAGCCCGGGGCGUAACCCCGGGUCUGCAGUCGAUACGGGCAGGCUAGAGUUCGGUAGGGGAGAUCGGAAUUCCUGGUGUAGCGGUGAAAUGCGCAGAUAUCAGGAGGAACACCGGUGGCGAAGGCGGAUCUCUGGGCCGAUACUGACGCUGAGGAGCGAAAGCGUGGGGAGCGAACAGGAUUAGAUACCCUUGUAGUCA
rnacentral:rRNA from 1 species